UGGGGAAUUUCGGACAAUGGGCGCAAGCCUGAUCCAGCCAUGUCGCGUGAGUGAAGAAGGCCUUCGGGUUGUAAAGCUCUUUCGGCCGGGAAGAAAUCGCAUGGGCUAAUACCCUGUGUGGAUGACGGUACCGGAAUAAGAAGCACCGGCUAACUACGUGCCAGCAGCCGCGGUAAUACGUAGGGUGCGAGCGUUAAUCGGAAUUACUGGGCGUAAAGCGUGCGCAGGCGGUUUGAUAAGCCAGAUGUGAAAUCCCCGAGCUCAACUUGGGAACUGCGUUUGGAACUGUCAGACUAGAGUGCGUCAGAGGGGGGUGGAAUUCCGCGUGUAGCAGUGAAAUGCGUAGAGAUGCGGAGGAACACCGAUGGCGAAGGCAGCCUCCUGGGAUGACACUGACGCU
rnacentral:rRNA from 1 species